GUAAUUUUGUUUCUUAUGUUUAUAUUUGUUAAAGUUUUUGGCAUGUAGUUCAUUCAUUUCCUUAUUAAAUCAAUUUUGUUUUUCAGAGGAAUUUUAGACUUAUAGUUUGUUAGUCAAUGAUUUCUAGAGGAACAGCAUCAACACGAAGUGUGAUUAUAAAAGGGGACUUAUUAGAUUGGCCUACUUGACCUGAAGCUGGAUGUCCACAGUGGCUGUCUGCAGAGUGGAGAGCUUGAGAAGUAGUAGCUGCAGAGUCCAAGAGGCUGAAGCCUCAGAACAAGAGGGAUCAGUGGUGCUGCCCCAGUCCAGACCAAAGGUUCUGGAAACUCCCUGGAGAAUCACAGGCAGGGUCCACGUUGGGAGAGUGAAGAAGGCAGAGUCUGAUAUCCUCAGGCCAUUGCAGCAGCCAUCAAGAACCCAUUGAGAAGAAAGGAGCUUGCUCUGCUGCUGCUUCUUUCUUCUUCCAACUUUUGUGCCUCCCAAGACACCAUCCUAUUGGAUGGUGCUGCCUAGCUUAAGAAGGUUCUCCAGUUUGAUUCGCUGUUCCACAUGCCAAUCAUUUGUAGACACACCCUCAUGGACAUACCCCAAAGCUUAUUAAUCACUGUAUCUUUUAAUCCAAUCAAGGUGACAAUUAAAUGUGCCAUGACUCAUAGUAUCGAAUACCCGUUCUCUCCAGCCAAUAGUCUCCACUGUUUUCAACAUAUUCCAUUGGUGUAUGAUGUUUGUUAGUUACUAAACCAGGUUUGAACAUUUGAUAAAGAGAAUGGAUGAAGCAAAAUGUUAUCAUAAGCCAGAGUUCACCAUUUACCUUAGGUUCCUCCUCUGUGUGAUGUGAUUGUGUGUGUCACAUAGUAUACAAGAAAAUGUACAGAAGAGUUUCACUGCUCUGGGAAUCCUGUGUUCCACCUGUUCAUCACUCCUCUCAUUCCUUCCUCCCUGUGUGCUCCCUGAGUCCCUGGCACCCAUCAGUUCUGCUAGUGCAUCUAUAAUGUUGUUCAUUCCAGAAUGUUCUUGACUUGGAAUCUUACUGCACUUGGCCAUUUCAAAGUGGCUUCUCUCACUUUCCAGUCUGCCUUUAAGGGUGCUGUAUCUUCCCACGCUGCAGAGCU
rnacentral:lncRNA from 1 species